GUGUGGAUCCAGCAAGCUUUGUACUGACGGAUCACUAGCAGCUGCACAAAAUGGCAGAUCACUGUACAGUGGUACCUUGGUUCUCAAACGCCUUGGUUCUCAAACACCGAAAACCCAGAAGUGUUCCGGUUUUCGAACAUUUUUCAGAAGCCAAACGUCUGAUGCGGUUGUCGUCUAUUGUUUCCAGGGCGCCUGUACCAGUCAGAAGCUGUGCCUUGGUUUUUGAACAUUUCGGAAGUCAAAUGGACUUCCAGAAUGGAUUAAGUCUGGCACUUUUGUUUUUACUAUUUAUUUUGUGUUUUUGUUUUUGAGGCUUUUUCGGUUCAUUUGUUUUUGUGACUGUGUGGAGCCCAGUUCAGCUACUGAUUGAUUGUGUGACUGUAGAAAUGGAUAAAAGUCCCCCAUCCAAACAAUGACUAUCAUCAGUGCAGGUAAGAAAAAAUAAAAAUAAUUUUAAAUUUUAUCAUCUUCCAUACUGUCUUAGUCAUUUUAUAGUACAGUACAUUGAUUAUUGCUUUCAUUUUAUGGAUCAGUGGUCUCAUUAGAUAGUAAAAUUCGUGUUAAACUGCUGUUUUAGGAUUUUUUUAAAAGUCUGGAAAGCAUUAAUCCAUUUUGCAUUACCUUCUAUGGGAAAGCGUGCCUUGGUUUUGGAAUGCUUUGGUUUUGGAACGGACUUCUGGAACGGAUUAAGUUUGAGAACCAAGAUACCACUGUAGUUCAAUUUACUCUGGUUAAUAUUUUACAUUCAAUGCUAUCAUUUUGUGCAGGUUAAGAUAGGUAGGAGACUAAACAUCAUUAAAUUUUAUCAUAGGUUUUCUGUAUAAACGGUAAAUUAGGUAUUUUGGGGGAACAAUGCUUGGGUCUGGUUAGCGGACUGGGUACUGGAAUGACGCAAAAGCAGUUAAACAGAAAGCAAUGAGUGGUAAGGAUCUGAAAUGAAAAUAUAAAUAUAGGUUUUUCAAUCAGUAUGAACAUGAGUAAUUUUAAAAUGCAUUAUGUCAGUAUACCUUGUUUUGUGUUUUCUGGGAGGAUUUAUCUAUUGUCUGACCAUGACUUCUCCAUCAAAAAUGUUACAGAAAAGGUCUACAGAAAUAGCCUAUUAAAUAAAAAAAUGUCAAGCAACAGUUGGGUCACAGAGUCUUCAGUUGACCUUCUCAUGGAUAAAGUCCCUUCGCUGUGAGAUAUAACCAGAAUAUAUCUGAGUGGACCAAGAAAAUGCAUCUCUAUUAUCUACAAGUAGAUAGCAAUAAAUACACUGAAUAACAAUAUCUCAAACAGAAAGUUUGAGAUGCAAUCUCUGAAUUACCGGACCGUUCUUUGGCACGACAUUGCUUUCUCAAGAGAAAAGUACAGAAUGCAGCUCAGAGUGGAAAAAAUAUAUGAAUCUCUACAGAACUAGAUAUGGUAUUUUAAGGAGAAGGCAACAAAAGAUGAAUAGGUAAGUUGAGUUUCUGAUCAUGCAAGUGCCCUGCUUACUUAAUUGAGUUUGUUCUAGUGGAUGACUGUCAGGGAACUGCCAUAGGAGCUGGAAGUGGAGGGAAGGCUCCAAAGGGAUGGCGGAAAGGGUCCCAGUAGGGAGAGAGGGAGCCCGUCUGCUGGGGAAGGAAAUCAGCGUAACACCAGUAGAGAAGGGGGGCAGAUGGGGAAUCGGGAGGAGGCUCCAAGACUCCUCGCCGGAGACCAGCGGAGAGAGUACGGGUACUCCACUGCCCACACCCUCCCUGCGCAGAAGACUUCCGCGCAGGGAGAGUAGGAGGAGACUUGGCGUCAAGGAACUUUUGUGCUGGAAGAAGUUUAAGAAACGCCCACUGACGGAUUCUGCCAGCGACUGAGACAGUCACGAUGCUGGAGGCUGUUCAGUCAGAAAGGGUUAACCAGGUAACCUAGCCAGGAGUGGCGGCAACUUACGCACGAGCAACCCCUAAACCCAUUACAAUGACCUUAGAAAUUAAAGCUAUACCUCAAGACUGCUCUGGGCACAAGAGUCAUGAAUCUAAUUUGGGCCAACAAUGUACCAGUGCUCCACAGUUCUCCAGAACGUUCUUAUGGAUAGAAUGUCAUUGGAAAGAUUUAGAGCAGAUACUUCACUGUCAACUGUGAAACUAAUUGCUGCAUCAACCUCUUGUUCUGCUCGUUCAUAGUCCCCAACUGCCCUGAAAAUGCUGGGGUGGGAGUUGUAAUGUCGUAUUUUAAAGUGUGUGCAAGUCCAUUGCCUUUAUUUAAUUUAUCCCCAGACAGACUCCAACUCUGCAAGCUGGGCAGAAAGUACUUGGGAAGAUGGACUUCAGGGUGGCAAGCUGGAAGGGAUGGAAAAGUUCUUCAUCCACUUAUGUGUCCGCUGUUAAACUUUGUAAUAAUAAUAAUAGUAAUAAUUUUUUAUGCAUAUCCCGCCCAUCUGGCUGGGUUUCCCCAGCCUCUCUGGGUGGCUCCCAACAGAAUAUUAAAAACACAAUAAAACAUCAAAC